AUGAAUUGCAUAGUUUGGAACUGUCGAGGGGCGGGGAACCCUCGAACAGUUCGUGAUUUGCAGGCUCUAUGUAGAGCAAAUUCCCCAAGGAUGGUAUUCUUGUGUGAGACUAGGCAACAAAAAAAUGAAAUGAGUAGAUUUCGUAAUCGUUUAGGGCUCCGAGGUUUUGAAGGCAUUAGUAGUAAAGGAAAAAGUGGUGGUUUAGCACUGUAUUGGGAUGACUCGUUGUACCUUGAUGUU
rnacentral:rRNA from 1 species